GUUAAAACCGCGCCGAUUGACAUUACCCGCAGAAAAAGCCCCGGCUAAGUUCCGUGCCAGCAGCCCCGGUAAUACGGAGGGUGCCAAGCGUUAAUUCGAAUUACUGGGCGUAAAGCGCACGCAGGCGGUUUUUUAAUUCAAAUGUGAAAUCCCCGGGGUUAAGCCUUGGAACUGCAUUGAAACUGGCAGGCUUGAGUCUUGUAGAGGGGGGUAGAAUUCCAGGUGUAGCGGUGAAAUGCGUAGAGAUCUGGAGGAAUACCGGUGGCGAAGGCGGCCCCCUGGACAAAGACUGACGCUCAGGUGCGAAGGCGUGGGAGCAACAGGAUUAGAUACCCUGGUAGUCCACGCCGUAAACGAUGUCGACUUGGAGGCUGUGCCCUUGAGGCGUGGCUUCCGGAGCUAACGCGUUAAGUCGACCGCCUGGGGAGUACGGCCGCAAGGUUAAAACUCAAAUGAAUUGACGGGGGCCCGCACAAGCGGUGGAGCAUGUGGUUUAAUUCGAUGCAACGCGAAGAACCUUACCUACUCUUGACAUCCACGGAAUUCGGCAGAGAUGCCUUAGUGCCUUCGGGAACCGUGAGACAGGUGCUGCAUGGCUGUCGUCAGCUCGUGUUGUGAAAUGUUGGGUUAAGUCCCGCAACGAGCGCAACCCUUAUCCUUUGUUGCCAGCGAUUCGGUCGGGAACUCAAAGGAGACUGCCGGUGAUAAACCGGAGGAAGGUGGGGAUGACGUCAAGUCAUCAUGGCCCUUACGAGUAGGGCUACACACGUGCUACAAUGGCGCAUACAAAGAGAAGCGACCUCGCGAGAGCAAGCGGACCUCACAAAGUGCGUCGUAGUCCGGAUCGGAGUCUGCAACUCGACUCCGUGAAGUCGGAAUCGCUAGUAAUCGUGGAUCAGAAUGCCACGGUGAAUACGUUCCCGGGCCUUGUACACACCGCCC
rnacentral:rRNA from 1 species